rnacentral:rRNA from 1 species
UGGCAGUCAGAGGCGAUGAAGGACGUGCUAAUCUGCGAUAAGCGUCGGUAAGGUGAUAUGAACCGUUAUAACCGGCGAUUUCCGAAUGGGGAAACCCAGUGUGAUUCGUCACACUAUCAUUAACUGAAUCCAUAGGUUAAUGAGGCGAACCGGGGGAACUGAAACAUCUAAGUACCCCGAGGAAAAGAAAUCAACCGAGAUUCCCCCAGUAGCGGCGAGCGAACGGGGAGCAGCCCAGAGCCUGAAUCAGUGUGUGUGUUAGUGGAAGCGUCUGGAAAGGCGCGCGAUACAGGGUGACAGCCCCGUACACAAAAAUGCACAUACUGUGAGCUCGAUGAGUAGGGCGGGACACGUGGUAUCCUGUCUGAAUAUGGGGGGACCAUCCUCCAAGGCUAAAUACUCCUGACUGACCGAUAGUGAACCAGUACCGUGAGGGAAAGGCGAAAAGAACCCCGGCGAGGGGAGUGAAAAAGAACCUGAAACCGUGUACGUACAAGCAGUGGGAGCACAGAGCAAUCUGUGUGACUGCGUACCUUUUGUAUAAUGGGUCAGCGACUUAUAUUCUGUAGCAAGGUUAACCGAAUAGGGGAGCCGAAGGGAAACCGAGUCUUAACUGGGCGUUAAGUUGCAGGGUAUAGACCCGAAACCCGGUGAUCUAGCCAUGGGCAGGUUGAAGGUUGGGUAACACUAACUGGAGGACCGAACCGACUAAUGUUGAAAAAUUAGCGGAUGACUUGUGGCUGGGGGUGAAAGGCCAAUCAAACCGGGAGAUAGCUGGUUCUCCCCGAAAGCUAUUUAGGUAGCGCCUCGUGAAUUCAUCUCCGGGGGUAGAGCACUGUUUCGGCAAGGGGGUCAUCCCGACUUACCAACCCGAUGCAAACUGCGAAUACCGGAGAAUGUUAUCACGGGAGACACACGGCGGGUGCUAACGUCCGUCGUGAAGAGGGAAACAACCCAGACCGCCAGCUAAGGUCCCAAAGUCAUGGUUAAGUGGGAAACGAUGUGGGAAGGCCCAGACAGCCAGGAUGUUGGCUUAGAAGCAGCCAUCAUUUAAAGAAAGCGUAAUAGCUCACUGGUCGAGUCGGCCUGCGCGGAAGAUGUAACGGGGCUAAACCAUGCACCGAAGCUGCGGCAGCGACGCUGAUGCGUUGUUGGGUAGGGGAGCGUUCUGUAAGCCUGUGAAGGUGUGCUGUGAGGCAUGCUGGAGGUAUCAGAAGUGCGAAUGCUGACAUAAGUAACGAUAAAGCGGGUGAAAAGCCCGCUCGCCGGAAGACCAAGGGUUCCUGUCCAACGUUAAUCGGGGCAGGGUGAGUCGACCCCUAAGGCGAGGCCGAAAGGCGUAGUCGAUGGGAAACAGGUUAAUAUUCCUGUACUUGGUGUUACUGCGAAGGGGGGACGGAGAAGGCUAUGUUGGCCGGGCGACGGUUGUCCCGGUUUAAGCGUGUAGGCUGGUUUUCCAGGCAAAUCCGGAAAAUCAAGGCUGAGGCGUGAUGACGAGGCACUACGGUGCUGAAGCAACAAAUGCCCUGCUUCCAGGAAAAGCCUCUAAGCAUCAGGUAACAUCAAAUCGUACCCCAAACCGACACAGGUGGUCAGGUAGAGAAUACCAAGGCGCUUGAGAGAACUCGGGUGAAGGAACUAGGCAAAAUGGUGCCGUAACUUCGGGAGAAGGCACGCUGAUAUGUAGGUGAAGUCCCUCGCGGAUGGAGCUGAAAUCAGUCGAAGAUACCAGCUGGCUGCAACUGUUUAUUAAAAACACAGCACUGUGCAAACACGAAAGUGGACGUAUACGGUGUGACGCCUGCCCGGUGCCGGAAGGUUAAUUGAUGGGGUUAGCGCAAGCGAAGCUCUUGAUCGAAGCCCCGGUAAACGGCGGCCGUAACUAUAACGGUCCUAAGGUAGCGAAAUUCCUUGUCGGGUAAGUUCCGACCUGCACGAAUGGCGUAAUGAUGGCCAGGCUGUCUCCACCCGAGACUCAGUGAAAUUGAACUCGCUGUGAAGAUGCAGUGUACCCGCGGCAAGACGGAAAGACCCCGUGAACCUUUACUAUAGCUUGACACUGAACAUUGAGCCUUGAUGUGUAGGAUAGGUGGGAGGCUUUGAAGUGUGGACGCCAGUCUGCAUGGAGCCGACCUUGAAAUACCACCCUUUAAUGUUUGAUGUUCUAACGUUGACCCGUGAUCCGGGUUGCGGACAGUGUCUGGUGGGUAGUUUGACUGGGGCGGUCUCCUCCUAAAGAGUAACGGAGGAGCACGAAGGUUGGCUAAUCCUGGUCGGACAUCAGGAGGUUAGUGCAAUGGCAUAAGCCAGCUUGACUGCGAGCGUGACGGCGCGAGCAGGUGCGAAAGCAGGUCAUAGUGAUCCGGUGGUUCUGAAUGGAAGGGCCAUCGCUCAACGGAUAAAAGGUACUCCGGGGAUAACAGGCUGAUACCGCCCAAGAGUUCAUAUCGACGGCGGUGUUUGGCACCUCGAUGUCGGCUCAUCACAUCCUGGGGCUGAAGUAGGUCCCAAGGGUAUGGCUGUUCGCCAUUUAAAGUGGUACGCGAGCUGGGUUUAGAACGUCGUGAGACAGUUCGGUCCCUAUCUGCCGUGGGCGCUGGAGAAUUGAGGGGGGCUGCUCCUAGUACGAGAGGACCGGAGUGGACGCAUCACUGGUGUUCGGGUUGUCAUGCCAAUGGCACUGCCCGGUAGCUAAAUGCGGAAGAGAUAAGUGCUGAAAGCAUCUAAGCACGAAACUUGCCCCGAGAUGAGUUCUCCCUGACUCCUUGAGAGUCCUGAAGGAACGUUGAAGACGACGACGUUGAUAGGCCGGGUGUGUAAGCGCAGCGAUGCGUUGAGCUAACCGGUACUAAUGAACCGUGAGGCUUAACCUU